rnacentral:rRNA from 1 species
AUUGAACGCUGGCGGCAGGCCUAACACAUGCAAGUCGAGCGGAGCGGCGGACGGGUGAGUAAUGCCUAGGAAUCUGCCUGGUAGUGGGGGAUAACGUCCGGAAACGGGCGCUAAUACCGCAUACUAUCAGAUGAGCCUAGGUCGGAUUCGCUAGUUGGUGGGGUAAAGGCCUACCAAGGCGACGAUCCGUAACUGGUCUGAGAGGAUGAUCAGUCAAAUGGGAAUGGGGACACGGUCCAGAUCCCUACGGAAGCAAGAAUGGGGGAAUAUUGGACAAGGGGCGAAAGCCGGAUCCACCCAUGCGGCGUGUGGGAGGAAGGUCUUCGGAUGGUAAAGCAUUUUAAGUGGGGAGGCGUUACCAACAGAAUAAGCACCGGCUAACUUCGUGCCAGCAGCCGCGGUAAUAC